rnacentral:rRNA from 1 species
AUGGGGCGGCCAGUGGCUGAGCUGCACGACGCGGCAGGUGCGCAUCUACGCGUACAUCGACCCGGAGACCAACGCCUUCGACAAGACGCAGACAGACAAGCUCACGGCCUCACGGUCAUGCUCGACCCCACCGAGUUCGUCUGGACCGACGAGACAUGCCAGAUGGUCUACAACGAGUUCCAGGACCUCGUCGACCACGAGGUAAACAAACUAACCAUACCACCAUUCGUGCAUUACGUGGCAAAAUGGACAUUUCCAUGUUCAUCUACUUCUGAUACAUUAAAAUUACCAAAAAUUUGGAAACCAGCUUCAUGUAGCAGAAUUUUCUAG